rnacentral:rRNA from 1 species
UACAGGGGGGGCAAGCGUUGUUCGGAAUUACUGGGCGUAAAGGGCCAGUAGGCGGCCAACUAAGUCACACGUGAAAUCCCCAGGCUUAACCUGGGAACUGCGUGUGAUACUGGAUGGCUUGAAUUCGGGAGAGGGAUGCAGAAUUCCAGGUGUAGCGGUGAAAUGCGUAGAUAUCUGGAGGAACACCGGUGGCGAAGGCGGGUCUCUGGGCAGUAACUGACGCUGAGGAGCGAAAGCGUGGGGAGCGAACAGG